rnacentral:rRNA from 1 species
GUUAUAUGGUCAAGCGAUGAAGCGCAUACAGUGUCUGCUUGGCAGCCAGAGGCGAUGAAGGACGUGACAGCCUGCGAUAAGGCUCGGCGAGGUGGCAAAUAACCUGUGACCCGGGCAUUUCGAAUGGGGAAACCCACUCAUCACAAGAUGAGUAUCACACCCUGAAUCCAUAGGGUGUGGGGCGAACCGGGGAACUGAAACAUCUCAGUACCCCGAGGAACAGAAAUCAACCGAGAUUCCCCAGUAGCGGCGAGCGACCGGGAAGUAUAAGCGGCACAACCGAUAGGCGAACAGGCUGGGAAGCCUGACCAUAGCAGGUGAUAGUCCGUAGCCGAAAUCCGAGUGUCUUGAAAACGGUAGGUCGGGGGACGAAACCUUGACUGAAGACGGGGGACCAUCCUCCAGGCUAAAUACUCCUGGCUGACCGAUGAGUGAACCAGUACCGUGAGGGAAAGGCGAAAGAACCCCGGAGGGGUGGAAAUAGAUCCUGAAACCGUAUGCGUACAAGCAGUGGAGCGGGCUUGGUCCCGUGACCGCGUACCUUUGUAUAAUGGGUCAGCGACUUAUUUUCAGUGGCGAGCUUAACCGAUUAGGGGAGGCGUAGAAACCGAGUCUUAACUGGGCGACCAGUCGCUGGAAAUAGACCCGAAACCGGGCGAUCUAUCCAUGAGCAGGGUGAAGGUUGAGUAACAUCAACUGGAGGCCCGAACCAGGAUCUGUUGAAAAGAUUUGAUGACUUGUGGAUCGGGUGAAAGGCUAAUCAAGCCCGGAGAUAGCUGGUUCUCCUCGAAAGCUAUUUAGGUAGCGCCUCACGUAUCACCGCCGGGGUAGAGCACUGUUUCGGCUAGGGUCAUCCCGACUUACCAACCCGAGGCAAACUCCGAAUACCGGUGAGUGAGCGUGGAGACACACAGCGGGUGCUAACGUCCGUUAGAAAGGGAAACAACCCAGACCGUCAGCUAAGGUCCCGAAAUCCUGGUUGAGGGGAAACGAUGUGGAAGGCUCAGACAGCUAGGAGGUUGGCUGAAGCAGCCAUCCUUUAAAGAAAGCGUAAUAGCUCACUAGUCGAGUCGGCCUGCGCGGAAGAUGUAACGGGCUAAACCAGGUACCGAAGCUACGGGCUUGUGUAUCACCUAAAGCGAUUGCUUACGCGAGCGAAGCGAGGAAAGCGCUCCACCACAGACGAGUGGGCGUGACCGUAAGCCGAGCCAGCAGCGAGUGCUUUCUGGAUGCAAUAAUAAGCGGUAGAGGAGCGUCGUGCCGAAUGAAGGUCCAGCCGAGAAGUGGGCUGGAGAAUACGAGUGCGAAUGCCGACAUGAGUAACGACAAUGGGGUGAAACCCACGCCAAAUAACACCCGCGGCUUGGUUCGGCGCGAACGGAGCGAGCGAGUCACCCGCGCGAGCCGAAAGAAGUAGUCGAUGUGGAAACGGGUCAAUAUUCCCGUACCUCACGUGGUCAAGCAAGGGGACGAAGAAGUGCCAGCACAGCAGGCGCGAGUAGUCCCAGGAGAGGCUGGUGGCUGAGGGUUCAGGCAACUGAACCUCGAGGCCGAGAGUAUGAGACGAACUGCUCAUCGGGCGGAAGUCAUCGAUGCCACGCUUCCAGGAAAAGCCUCUAAGCUUCAGAUCACGUGAGACCGUACCCCAAACCGACACAGGUGGUCAGGGUGAGAAUCCCCAGGCGCUUGAGAGAACUCGGGUGAAGGAACUAGGCAAAAUGGUGCCGUAACUUCGAGAAGGCACGCCGGCUUAGGGUGAAAGCACUGCUGCUGGAGCCCGAACCGGUCGAAGAUACCAGGUGGCUGCAACUGUUUAUUAAAAACACAGCACUCUGCCAACGCGUAAGCGGACGUAUAGGGUGUGACGCCUGCCCGGUGCCGGAAGGUUAAGUGAUGGCGUUAGCUCCGGCGAAGCGCUUGAUCGAAGCCCGGUAAACGGCGGCCGUAACUAUAACGGUCCUAAGGUAGCGAAAUUCCUUGUCGGGUAAGUUCCGACCUGCACGAAUGGCGUAAUGAUGGCCACGCCGGUUCCACCGAGACUCAGUGAAAUUGAAAUCGCCGUGAAGAUGCGGUGUACCCGCGGCUAGACGGAAGAACCCGUGAACCUUUACUAUAGCUUCACACUGGACUGAUGUUGCUUGUGUAGGAUAGCUGGGAGGCUUGGAACCCGGACGCCAGUUCGGGGCCGACCUUGAAAUACCAGCCUGGCAUCAUUGGCGUUCUAACUGGCACCGUGAUCCGGUGUGAGGACAGUGUGGUGGGUAGUUUGACUGGGGCGGUCUCCUCCCAAAGCGUAACGGAGGAGCACGAAGGUACCCUCAGCACGGUCGGACAUCGUGCAAUGAGUGCAAGAGCAUAGGGUGCUUGACUGCGAGACAGACGUCGAGCAGGUGCGAGAGCAGGUUCAGUGAUCCGGUGGUUCUGUAUGGAAGGGCCAUCGCUCAACGGAUAAAAGGUACCCGGGGAUAACAGGCUGAUACCGCCAAGAGUUCACAUCGACGGCGGUGUUUGCACCCUCGAUGUCAGCUCAUCACAUCCUGGGGCUGAAGUCGGUCCCAAGGGUAUGGCUGUUCGCCAUUUAAAGUGGUACGCGAGCUGGGUUUAGAACGUCGUGAGACAGUUCGGUCCCCUAUCUGCCGUGGGCGUUGGAUGUUUGAAGGGCUGCUCCUAGUACGGGACCGGGUGGACGCACCUCUGGUGUUCCGGUUGUCACGCCAGUGGCAUUGCCGGGUAGCUAUGUGCGGACGGGAUAACCGCUGAAGGCAUCUAAGCGGGAAGCCCCCUUCAAGAUGAGACAUCCCGAGGCCUCGAGCCUCCUGAAGGGCCCAGCAAGACCAGCUGGUUGAUAGGCCGGGUGUGGACGCUGCAAGGCGUUGAGCUAACCGGUACUAAUGGCCCGUGAGGCUUGACCAUAUAACAAAG